rnacentral:rRNA from 1 species
UACGUAGGGUGCAAGCGUUAAUCGGAAUUACUGGGCGUAAAGCGUGCGCAGGCGGUUUUGCAAGACAGAUGUGAAAUCCCCGGGCUCAACCUGGGAACUGCAUUUGUGACUGCAUAGCUGGAGUGCGGCAGAGGGGGAUGGAAUUCCGCGUGUAGCAGUGAAAUGCGUAGAUAUGCGGAGGAACACCGAUGGCGAAGGCAAUCCCCUGGGCCUGCACUGACGCUCAUGCACGAAAGCGUGGGGAGCAAACAGG